CUAGGAUGAACGCUGGCGGCGUGCCUAACACAUGCAAGUCGAGCGGAGAUAGUUGAAGCCUAGCGAUGACUAUCUUAGCGGCGGAUGGGUGAGUAACACGUGGGUAACCUGCCCUGUACUGGGGAAUAACAGCUGGAAACGACUGUUAAUGCCGCAUAUGCGCACGGAGCCGCAUGACUCUGGGCGGAAAGAUUUAUCGGUACAGGAUGGGCCCGCGCCGGAUUAACUAGUUGGCGGGGUAACGGCCCACCAAGGUGAUGAUCCGUAGCCGACCUGAGAGGGUGACCGGCCACAUUGGGACUGAGACACGGCCCAAACUCCUACGGGAGGCAGCAGUGGGGGAUAUUGCACAAUGGGGGAAACCCUGAUGCAGCGACGCCGCGUGAAGGAUGACGUAUUUCGGUAUGUAAACUUCUAUCAGCGGGGAAGAAGAUGACGGUACCCGACUAAGAAGCCCCGGCUAACUACGUGCCAGCCGCCGC
rnacentral:rRNA from 1 species